UGGACCAAUGAUUAUGGCUGCUGGUGAGUCCCACAUGAUGAGCACCAUGCAUCUGGAGCUCUGAGGUGCAG
ensembl:snoRNA